GCUCUGGAAGCUAUAGAAGCGUUAGGCUUUUAACCUGAAGACAGUGAUUUAUUCACCCUGAGUA
rnacentral:tRNA from 1 species